rnacentral:rRNA from 1 species
UACGUAGGGUGCAAGCGUUGUCCGGAAUUACUGGGCGUAAAGGGCUCGUAGGUGGCCAACUAAGUCGGACGUGAAAUCCCUCGGCUUAACCGGGGAACUGCGUCCGAUACUGGUUGGCUUGAGUUUGGGAGAGGGAUGCGGAAUUCCAGGUGUAGCGGUGAAAUGCGUAGAGAUCGGGAGGAACACCUGUGGCGAAGGCGGCUUACUGGUCCGGUACUGACGCUGAGGUGCGAAAGCGUGGGGAGCAAACAGG